UAGCCCUACUGAGAUGGAUGAUGUUAUACCUGAAACACAUCCUUCCUUAGUAACCAAGACCCUUGCGCUCCCCCACUUCUGAAGUGCCUCUCUCACCCUCUGGGCUUAAUGACCAGCAUGUUGGAGCCUCCUCUACUCAUCGAUCAAAAACUGCCCUGUUUCCCUCGAGUGGUACAACCCCUGCAUCAUCAACUCAGCCAAGUGUUAUGCAAGACCUCCACAUGUCUGAGAAGGUGCAGCCACAACAAUCUGGACAAAUUGUUAUCAUAUCUCAACCAGCACAAAGAAGGGAUCAUUAUAUGCAGGGGGCAAAGUUAAAAGGCACCUCAGAUCAGCAGGGUCAUCUUCAGGGUGAAGCUGCCUUGCUUAAAAUGAAGUCCCCUGUUUCAGCAGUACCUACUGCUCUCAAUGUUCCAGCAGCAGAUUCAUCAAAACCAGUCAAAUUAAAGAGUCCUCAUAGGCUUACCAGAGGCAGCCCCCAGAAAAAAGCUAAGAGGUUCUCGCCUUAUGAAUCGCUUG
rnacentral:lncRNA from 1 species